GACGAACGCUGGCGGCGUGCCUAAUACAUGCAAGUCGAGCGAAGAUUUUCUGGUCCUUGCCCUGUAAAAAUUUAGCGGCGAACGGGUGUGUCACACGUAAAGACCCUGUCUCAUAGUCUGGUACAUCUAUUGGAAACGAUAUCUUAUACCGUAUAAUAGCAUUAACUGCAUGUUUGAUGUGUAAGAGUUGGUUUUGUUAACACUUUGAGAUGGCUUUGCGGUGCAUUAGCUAGUUGGUGGGGUAAAGGCCUACCAAGGCGACGAUGCAUAGCCGACCUGAGAGGGUGAUCGGCCACACUGGGACUGAGACACGGCCCAGACUCCUACGGGAGGCAGCAGUAGGGAAUCUUCCGCAAUGGGCGAAAGCCUGACGGAGCAACGCCGCGUGAGUGAAGAAGGAUUUCGGUUCGUAAAGCUCUGUUGUUAGGGAAGAAUGAUUGUGUAGUAACUAUACACAGUAGAGACGGUACCUAACCAGAAAGCCACGGCUAACUACGUG
rnacentral:rRNA from 1 species